rnacentral:rRNA from 1 species
AUUGAACGCUGGCGGCAGGCCUAACACAUGCAAGUCGAACGAGUGGCGGACGGGUGAGUAAUGUCUGGGAAACUGCCCGAUGGAGGGGGAUACCUACUGGAAACGGUAGCAAAUACCGCAUACCAUCGGAUGUGCCCAGAUUGGAUUAGCUAGUAGGUGGGGUACCGGCUCACCUGGGCGACGAUCCCUAGCUGGUCUGAGAGGAUGACCAGCCACACUGGAACUGAGACGCGGUCCAGACUCCGACGUGAGGCAGCAGUGGGGAAUAUGGUACAAUGGGCGCAAUCCUGAUGGAGCAAUGCCGCGUGGAUGAAGAAGGCCUUCGGGUUGUAAAGUACUUGCAGCGAGGAGGCGUUACUCGCAGAAGAAGCACCGGCUAACUCCGUGCAAGCAGCCGCGGUAAUUC